rnacentral:rRNA from 1 species
UACGGAGGGUGCGAGCGUUGUCCGGAAUCAUUGGGCGUAAAGGGCGCGUAGGUGGCGGGACAAGCGUGCGGUGAAAGCUCGGGGCUCAACCCCGAGUCGGCCGUGCGAACUGUUUUGCUUGAGCACUGUAGAGGCAGGCGGAAUUCCGGGUGUAGCGGUGGAAUGCGUAGAUAUCGGAAGGAACACCUGUGGCGAAAAGCGGCUCACUGGACCAUAACUGACGCUGAGGCACGAAAGCUAGGGGAGCAAACAGG